rnacentral:rRNA from 1 species
CGGAUCCUUCGGGAUUAGUGGCGGACGGGUGAGUAACACGUGGGAACGUGCCCUUAGGUUCGGAACAACUCAGGGAAACUUGAGCUAAUACCGGAUGUGCCCUUCGGGGGAAAGAUUUAUCGCCAUUGGAGCGGCCCGCGUCUGAUUAGCUAGUUGGUGAGGUAAAGGCUCACCAAGGCGACGAUCAGUAGCUGGUCUGAGAGGAUGAUCAGCCACAUUGGGACUGAGACACGGCCCAAACUCCUACGGGAGGCAGCAGUGGGGAAUCUUGCGCAAUGGGCGAAAGCCUGACGCAGCCAUGCCGCGUGAAUGAUGAAGGUCUUAGGAUUGUAAAAUUCUUUCACCGGGGACGAUAAUGACGGUACCCGGAGAAGAAGCCCCGGCUAACUUCGUGCCAGCAGCCGCGGUAAUACGAAGGGGGCUAGCGUUGCUCGGAAUUACUGGGCGUAAAGGGAGCGUAGGCGGACUGUUAAGUUAGAGGUGAAAGCCCAGGGCUCAACCUUGGAAUUGCCUUUGAUACUGGCAGUCUUGAGUACGGAAGAGGUAUGUGGAACUCCGAGUGUAGAGGUGAAAUUCGUAGAUAUUCGGAAGAACACCAGUGGCGAAGGCGACAUACUGGUCCGUUACUGACGCUGAGGCUCGAAAGCGUGGGGAGCAAACAGGAUUAGAUACCCUGGUAGUCCACGCCGUAAACGAUGAGUGCUAGUUGUCGGCAUGCAUGCAUGUCGGUGACGCAGCUAACGCAUUAAGCACUCCGCCUGGGGAGUACGGUCGCAAGAUUAAAACUCAAAGGAAUUGACGGGGGCCCGCACANNNNNNNGAGCAUGUGGUUUAAUUCGAAGCAACACGCAGAACCUUACCACCUUUUGACAUGCCCGGACCGCCACAGAGAUGUGGUUUUCCCUUCGGGGACNGGNNNACAGGUGCUGCAUGG